AGUGGGGAAUAUUGCACAAUGGGCGCAAGCCUGAUGCAGCCAUGCCGCGUGUAUGAAGAAGGCCUUCGGGUUGUAAAGUACUUUCAGCAGUGAGGAAGGUAUCGUAGUUAAUAGCUGCGGUAUUUGACGUUAGCUGCAGAAGAAGCACCGGCUAACUCCGUGCCAGCAGCCGCGGUAAUACGGAGGGUGCGAGCGUUAAUCGGAAUUACUGGGCGUAAAGCGCAUGCAGGUGGUUUGUUAAGUCAGAUGUGAAAGCCCGGGGCUCAACCUCGGAAUUGCAUUUGAAACUGGCAGACUAGAGUACUGUAGAGGGGGGUAGAAUUUCAGGUGUAGCGGUGAAAUGCGUAGAGAUCUGAAGGAAUACCGGUGGCGAAGGCGGCCCCCUGGACAGAUACUGACACUCAGAUGCGAAAGCGUGGGGAGCAAA
rnacentral:rRNA from 1 species